GGAAAUGAAUGUGGUUUAGUGGGAGAGCAUCUCCUUCACAUGCAGAAAGUGCCAGGUUCAAAGCCCUGGAAUCUCCA